ACCGGCCUGCAAAGUAGGUACGCGAACAACGCAGGUUGAACCAAUAUUCAUUGAACAGGGAUCUGACUCGUAGACAUGGUUCGGUGUGCAACGUCCGCCAGUUCGGAAUGCCUAAAGAGCCACGGUCAGGUUCCGCCGUCUUAGACGGGUUCACCUGCGCUUCGUCGUACGGCCAAGCGGGUCGGUU
rnacentral:other from 1 species